rnacentral:tRNA from 3 species
GCCCCUGUAGUGUAGUUCGGUCAAUCAUUCCAGAUUCUCAAUCUGGCGACCCGAGUUCAAAUCUCGGCAGGGGCG